rnacentral:rRNA from 1 species
UACGUAGGUGGCAAGCGUUAUCCGGAUUUAUUGGGUGUAAAGGGCGUGUAGGCGGGAGCGCAAGUCAGAUGUGAAAACUCAGGGCUCAACCCUGAGCCUGCAUUUGAAACUGUGUUUCUUGAGUGCUGGAGAGGCAAUCGGAAUUCCGUAUGUAGCGGUGAAAUGCGUAGAUAUACGGAGGAACACCAGUGGCGAAGGCGGAUUGCUGGACAGUAACUGACGCUGAGGCGCGAAAGCGUGGGGAGCAAACAGG